ensembl:snRNA U6 U6 spliceosomal RNA
GUUCUUGCUUUGGCAGCACAUGGGGUAAAAUUGGAAAGGUACAGAGAUUAUUAGCAUAAUCUUUGUGCAAAGAUGACAUGCAAAUCACAAAGCAUUCUAUAUUUUU